AAGACUUUCCUUUUGGGGCUCUUCAAGUCUUCCCCCCUUCUAAAUAUCAGUUCCGUUUAAUUUCUUCUCUCUGGGUUGGAAGCUUGGAAUCAAUGGCGACUGCUGGAAAUCAGAUUAAAAACGCCAAAUUGGUGCUUCUUGGAGAUGCGGGAACUGGGAAGUCUAGUUUAGUUUUGCGUUUCGUGAAAGAGCAGUUUGUUGAAUUCCAGGAAUCAACAAUAGGUGCAGCCUUCUUUUCAAAGACAUUGGCAGUGAAUGAUGAAACAGUCAAGUUUGAGAUUUGGGAUACUGCAGGGCAGGAGAGGUAUCAUAGUUUGGCUCCUAUGUAUUACAGAGGAGCUGCAGCUGCUGUAAUUGUAUACGAUAUAACGAAUUCGGCCACAUUCAUGCGAGCAAAGAAAUGGGUUCAAGAACUUCAAGCACAGGGAAAUCCAAGCACAAUAAUGGCUCUUGCUGGAAACAAAGCUGAUUUAUUAGAAGCUAGACAGGUGUCUGCAGAGGAAGCCCAAACAUAUGCUCAGGAGAAUGGCCUUUUCUUCAUGGAAACUUCUGCUAAAACAGCAAUCAAUGUCAAUGACAUAUUCUACGAAAUUGGCAUGCUGUAGACAUUGGUUAGUCAAGAUUCAUGGUAGCUCCUACAACAUCAAGGACUUUGUGUGACUUUCUUGCUGUUAGGUAGUUGCCUGUGAUGCAAAGAGAUUGCUCCAGUCUCAACCAGUGCAGAACCCUCAAGCAGUGAUUCUCACAGAUAGAUCGGCUGAGAGAUUUGUCAAUAAAACUUCUUGCUGCUCUUAGUGCUCAUCACGAACUCACCAGUCAAUUUGUGUGUUGGCACAUUUACCAAACAAAAUUUGUGUUCUAUGAACAGUCACCAGCUCCACGAUAACUAUUUUCUGCUCCUGCUUCUGAUGUCCCAUUUUUUCACUGUGAAUAUUAGAAUGUUCUGAAAUGAAGGAUUUGCUAUUUUCUUCUUAUUCUUUAA